UUCCUGGUGGUUCAACGGUUAAGACUGAACUGCCACUUCAGGGGGGUGCUGGUUCAAUCCCUGCUCAGGGAA
rnacentral:tRNA from 1 species